CCACCUCCCAACCCACCACACCGUCUUCCGUCUUCUGCUUUGGUUUCAGUUAGUUUUGCACUUUGAUUUAGCUUGUAUUGGAUAUACAGGACGACAAGCCUUAUGUUAGUUUACAAUGUAAGAAGAGAACUAUGAGUUUGAUUGUCUAUAAGAUUUUUGCCUCCCUCAUGUUAACGGGAACUAGUCUUUACUUCCUUUCCAGAAAAUAUGAAAAUGACGCGAAACAACAGGCUAGAUAUAAAAUUAUAACUACUCCACCUGUCAGGGAUGGCGAUUUUCCCAAAAAGUGGAAGGGUCCAGCGUAAAUUAUUGUAAAUAAUACAAUUCUCAAAACAAUGGUUUCUUCUUCAAGGUAUAGGUCAAAAAUCUUUUUCAAUGACAUAGGAAGUUAACAUUAGGAGGACAUUUUGUAAACCAGAAACACAAGGAGGUGUAUAGCUGUUUCCAAGGGUAGACAGAUUGAAAUGUCACCAUGAUGGCGGGAAGCGGCGGGGCUCAGUACGUCACUACCCGCAGGGUGAUCCUAGGGCCUGCACCCUGAACAACUUGGACACAAACUGUGAAUGUUUUUUCAACAAUUCACAACUUAAAAAUGGGAAGACAAAUGGCAUAUCAUUUCAGGAGCUUACAUUUCUUUCCCAAUAAAAUUAUAAUAUUUUUGAUGA